GAGUUUGAUCCUGGCUCAGAUUGAACGCUGGCGGCAGGCCUAACACAUGCAAGUCGAGCGGUAGAGAGAAGCUUGCUUCUCUUGAGAGCGGCGGACGGGUGAGUAAUGCCUAGGAAUCUGCCUGGUAGUGGGGGAUAACGUUCGGAAACGGACGCUAAUACCGCAUACGUCCUACGGGAGAAAGCAGGGGACCUUCGGGCCUUGCGCUAUCAGAUGAGCCUAGGUCGGAUUAGCUAGUUGGUGAGGUAAUGGCUCACCAAGGCGACGAUCCGUAACUGGUCUGAGAGGAUGAUCAGUCACACUGGAACUGAGACACGGUCCAGACUCCUACGGGAGGCAGCAGUGGGGAAUAUUGGACAAUGGGCGAAAGCCUGAUCCAGCCAUGCCGCGUGUGUGAAGAAGGUCUUCGGAUUGUAAAGCACUUUAAGUUGGGAGGAAGGGCAGUUACCUAAUACGUGAUUGUUUUGACGUUACCGACAGAAUAAGCACCGGCUAACUCUGUGCCAGCACG
rnacentral:rRNA from 1 species